rnacentral:sRNA from 1 species
ACCAUGCCUAGUGUGUACCUGCGUGAGC